UAUUUUGGUUGUUGGGUGAUUUAUACUUAUUUUCGAAGUUUACCCUCAACACUUUCCACUGAGUUAUUUUGUUUAUAUGUAAGUAUCCAAAAUUAAGUGUUGGCACUUAACACGGUUUUGGCUGAAAAUUUACUUACAACCAUUUUAACCGAAGCUGAGUUCGUUUCAUGAAGUUUCGAACUUAAAUUUCAACUUAAAUUGAUAAUUGUGUGUGAUAAUUUGCCAAAAAUGGAACGAAAUGCAAGGUUCCGAGGAAGGUACUUCACUGCGGUUUUAGGAAGGCUUAAUGAUUUUACCGGCAAUCAUCAAGAAAUCACCUCGGAAACCACCUCUUUGAUUUUAUCACAAAUCCCGCAAGAUUCGAAACGUUGUUUCCAUCAACUAUUUGAUCGUGACAGCAGAGGACACGGCACACAUCUUGC